rnacentral:rRNA from 1 species
GAUGAACGCUGGCGGCGUGCCUAAUACAUGCAAGUCGAGCGAACGGACGAGAAGCUUGCUUCUCUGAUGUUAGCGGCGGACGGGUGAGUAACACGUGUAUAACCUACCUAUCAGACUGGGAUAACUUCGGGAAACCGGAGCUAAUACCGGAUAAUAUUUUGAACCGCAUGGUUCAAAAGUGAAAGACGGUCUUUCUGUCACUUAUAGAUGCAUCCGCGCUGCAUUAGCUAGUUGGUAAGUUAACGGCUUACCACGGCAACGAUGCAUAGCCGACCUGGGAGGGCGAUCGGCCACACGGGAACUGGGACACGGUCCAGGCGCCUAAGGGAGGCAGCAGUAGGGAAUCGGCCGCAAUGGGCGAGAGCCUGGCGGAGCAGCGCCGCGUGAGUGAUGGAGAUCUUCGGAUCGUAAAGCUCUGUUAUUAGGGAAGAACAUAUGUGUAAGUAACUGUGCACAUCUUGACGGUACCUAAUCAGAAAGCCACGGCUAACUACGUG